rnacentral:rRNA from 1 species
UGGGGAAUAUUGGACAAUGGGCGCAAGCCUGAUCCAGCCAUGCCGCGUGAGUGAAGAAGGCCCUAGGGUUGUAAAACUCUUUCAGCAGGGAAGAUAAUGACGGUACCUGCAGAAGAAGCCCCGGCUAAUUUCGUGCCAGCAGCCGCGGUAAUACGAAAGGGGCUAGCGUUGUUCGGAAUUACUGGGCGUAAAGCGCACGUAGGCGGCCUUGUAAGUUGGGGGUGAAAUCCCGGGGCUCAACCCCGGAACUGCCUCCAAAACUACAAAGCUAGAGGACGCGAGAGGAUAGUGGAAUUCCGAGUGUAGAGGUGAAAUUCGUAGAUAUUCGGAAGAACACCAGUGGCGAAGGCGACUGUCUGGCGCGUUUCUGACGCUGAGGUGCGAAAGCGUGGGGAGCAAACAGGAUUAGAUACCCCCGUAGUCC